UAAAUCAUCACACAAGUCCACUAUAUUGCCUUUAUACUAGAUCAUGAUAUAUGGAAAGCCUAAAUAAGUGUCUUUUUUUUUUUGGAGACGGAGUUUCGCUCUUGUUGCCCAGGCUGGAGUUCAAUGGCAUGAUCUUGGCUCACCGCAACCUCUGCCUCCCGGGUUCAAGCGAUUCUCCUACCUCAGCCUCCCAAGUAGCUGGGAUUACAGGCAUGUGCCACUACGUCUGGAUAAUUUUUUGUAUUUUUAGUAGAGACGGGGUUUCUCCAUGUUGGUCAGGCGGGUCUUGAACUCCCGACGUCAAGUGAUCUGCCCGCCUCAGCUCCCCAAAGUGGUGGGAUUACAGGCGUGAGCCACUGCGCCUGGCCCCAAGUGUCCAUUUUUUAAUUUAGUAAUUCUAACCUAGGUAUUUUUCCUGCAGUACAAAAUGAGGAUAAAGCUUUACAUGAAAACAUGUUGUCCCUAUUAUGUUUAUUGCAGCAAAAACACAACCUAAAAACCCAAUCUGAGCAGGUUUUAACUAAAU
rnacentral:lncRNA from 1 species